AACGAACGCUGGCGGCAUGCCUAACACAUGCAAGUCGAACGAGACCUUCGGGUCUAGUGGCGCACGGGUGCGUAACGCGUGGGAACCUGCCCUUAGGUUCGGAAUAACUCCCCGAAAGGGGUGCUAAUACCGGAUAAUGUCUUCGGACCAAAGAUUUAUCGCCUUUGGAUGGGCCCGCGUUGGAUUAGCUAGUUGGUAGGGUAAAAGCCUACCAAGGCGACGAUCCAUAGCUGGUCUGAGAGGAUGAUCAGCCACACUGGGACUGAGACACGGCCCAGACUCCUCCGGGAGGCAGCAGGGGGGAAUAUGGGACAAUGGCGAAAGCCUGAUCCAGCAAUGCCGCAUGAGUGAUGAAGGCCUUAGGGUUGUAAAGCUCUUUUACCCGGGAUGAUAAUGACAGUACCGGGAGAAUAAGCUCCGGCUAACUCCGUG
rnacentral:rRNA from 1 species